GAUUUCGGGGUUAAAAUGGUAUUUAAGAUGGAACCUCCAAGAGACAAAUGGAACUUCGUUUUGUUAAUUUUCGUAGUACAUGGAAUUGGAACUUUAAUGCCGUGGAACAUGUUUAUAACUGCGAAAGAAUACUUUGUCAACUAUAAGCUGGGAAAUUCAACUUAUUCAUCGGUAUAUGCUUCGAAUUUUUUGCAGUACCAUAACUUUGCAGCACAAAUUCCUAACGUGGUAUUUAAUUGGUUAAACAUUUUUGUUAAUUUAGGGGGCGAUUUAACUACCCGUAUCGUUUUCAGCAUUUUGCUAGAAUUAGCCUUAUUCAUACUAACUGUUAUUUUAGCUAUGGUGGACUCAUCAGAUUGGCCCGGAGUCUUUUUUUGGACAACUAUGAUCACAGUUGUUCUGCUAAAUAUGGCUGGAGGUAUAUAUCAAAAUACUAUAUAUGGAAUGGUUGCUACACAUCCGGUCAAAUAUACUGGUGCGGUUGUAUUAGGAUCUAAUAUAUGUGGAUUAUUUGUUUCUAUACUAAGUAUAGCAAGUACUUCCAUAUUUUCAUCAAAACGGACCGCAGCGAUUUACUAUUUUAUCACAGCAAUGGUGGUUCUACUUGCUUGUUUUGAUACAUUUUUUGCAUUGCCGUUAAAUAAAUUUUACCGUUAUAAUCAACUUUCUAGAAAGCCAGAGGAGGAAUCAGAUGAUACUAAGGUGUGCGUUGUACCAUAUUGGUUAAUUUUUAAAAAUACUUCUUUACAACUAUACAAUGUGUUUUUCACAUUCUUCGUCACUUUAUCGAUAUUUCCUUCCGUACACUCAGAUAUAAAGUUAUCGUCGUCGUCAAACUUUAUUAUUCAGUCACCGGAUAUCUUCACUUCUGUGACCUGUUUCCUUACCUUUAACCUCUUUGCAAUGUUAGGGAGUUUGACAACAUCUUGGAUACAAUGGCCUGGUCCUAAAUUUUUGGCAAUACCUGUUACGUUACGAAUUGUUUUCAUACCGAUAUUUCUAUAUUGCAACUACCAGCCUCUUAAUGUAACUAGAACACUACCGGUCUUAAUAAAAAACGAAUGGAUAUACUGGUUUAUUGCUAGUUUAAUGUCAUGGAGUUCAGGAUAUUUAAGAAAAUGUAAAGUCAUCUACCGUGGUAAAGUAUAGAGAAGGUGCAGGUUCAAUGGCGGACAUUUGUUACGAAGCAUCUCGACAAGAGAGAAUUUAUAGCUGCAUUGCCGUGCAUAUUACUUGUGGAGACUCCACAUUGCUCAUAGCGUACAUAGCGUACAUUUCUAAUUUAUAUAUAUAGAGAAGGUGCAGGUUCAAUGGCGGACAUUUGUUACGAGGCAUCUCGACAAGAGAGAAUUUAUAGCUGCAUUGCCGUGCAUAUUGCUUGUGGAGACUCCACAUUGCUCAUAGCAGAAAACGAAAGAGGUUAACAAGGAGAAAAAGAAAUCAUUUGGACCAUUGGUAAAAUUCAAAUCUAUAGCGUGCAGCAACCAAAUAAUGGAAAAAUGUAAAGUCAUCUACCGUGGUAAAGUAUAGAGAAGGUGCGGGUUCAAUGGCGGACAUUUGUUACGAGGCAUCUCGACAAGAGAGAAUUUAUAGCUGCAUUGCCGUGCAUAUUGCUUGUGGAGACUCCACAUUGCUCAUAGCAGAAAACGAAAGAGGUUAACAAGGAGAAAAAGAAAUCAUUUGGACCAUUGGUAAAAUUCAAAUCUAUAGCGUGCAGCAACCAAAUAAUGGAGUAUGUUUUAAAUUAUUAAAGUUAAAUAGUGUAUAUUUCAUUCAAAUAUUUGUUAUAGAUUGUGCAUUUUAUUUUGAUUUUGUUAUUAUUGUUAUUAAAUAAAGAGAAAAAAAAUAUUUCGCUCAUGAGUCA